GGGGCGGUAGCUCAACGGUAGAGCAGGAAAUCCCCUCGGGCGUCCCUUGCCCGCACCGGGCCGAAGUUCGAGGGUUACCACUGUUAAUGGCCGGGUUGCAGGUUCGAGUCCUGCCCGCCCCC
rnacentral:tRNA from 1 species